GUACUGCAGAACAAUUUCAAUGGCACAGUCCCGGAAACCUAUGCUAAUUGUAAGUCUUUGAUUCGUUUUCGUGUAAACAACAAUUCACUUUCAGGUACAAUUCCACCUGGAAUAUGGAGCUUGCCAAAUCUUUCCAUUAUUGACCUGUCCACGAAUCAAUUUGAAGGUCCAGUGACAGAUGAUAUUGGCAAUGCCAAGUCUCUUGCACUGUUACUUUUAGCUAACAAUAGGUUUUCUGGUGAAUUACCCUCUAAAAUCUCAGAAGCUUCUUCAUUAGUCUCAAUUCAGUUGAGUUUAAAUCAAUUUUCUGGCCAAAUCCCAUUAGAUAUUGGCAAAUUGAAGAAGCUUAGUAGCCUUUAUUUACACGACAAUAUGUUUUCUGGUCCCUUACCUUACUCCAUAGGCUCAUGUGUUUCACUCACAGACAUAAAUUUUGCUCAAAACUCACUUUCCGGGAAAAUUCCUGAUAGUCUCGGAUCAUUACCCUCUUUGAACUCCUUGAAUUUAUCCAAUAACAAAUUUUCUGGUGAAAUUCCAAUCUCUUUGACAUAUCCAAAGCUAAGCCUUCUUGACCUGUCCAAUAAUCAAUUGGCUGGUCCAAUACCCGAGCCUUUAAAUAUUAAGGCCUUCAUUGAUAGCUUCACUGGGAAUCCUGGCUUAUGUAGCAAAACUGAUGAAUAUUUUAAGUCAUGCUCUUCAGGUUCGGGUAGAUCCCAUCAUGU
rnacentral:lncRNA from 1 species